UUUCCUUUUAAACUCAUCAGUAAACGAGUAUCUGUUCUUAUCAGCUUAAUAUGUGAUACGAUCCCCAUGUCGGAUCCUCGAUAUUAAACUGAUUUUUGUAACAUGGCAAAGUGCUAGGAGCUUGCUCCACCUUUGCCGCGGAUCGGCCCGGUAUUGCAGAAAACUAGCGAUUAGUACCUUCAUG